rfam:Fukomys damarensis contig102743, whole genome shotgun sequence.
AUCCUUUGGUUCAUGAGCAUGAUGACUAGGUGUUCACGCCUUAUGCCUGAAAUGUGCAUCCCUCAAACCUUGUGAGGAUGUCGGCACAUUACCCACUUGAUA